rnacentral:rRNA from 1 species
UACGGAAGGCAGCAGUGGGGAAUAUUGCACAAUGGGCGCAAGCCUGAUGCAGCCAUGCCGCGUGUAUGAAGAAGGCCUUCGGGUUGUAAAGUACUUUCAGUCGUGAGGAAGGUGUUAAGGUUAAUAACCUUAGCAAUUGACGUUAGCGACAGAAGAAGCACCGGCUAACUCCGUGCCAGCAGCCGCGGUAAUACGGAGGGUGCGAGCGUUAAUCGGAAUUACUGGGCGUAAAGGGCACGCAGGCGGUUAAUUAAGUUGGAUGUGAAAUCCCCGGGCUUAACCUGGGAAUGGCAUUCAAGCUGGUUAGCUAGAGUCUUGUAGAGGGGGUAGAAUUCCAUGUGUAGCGGUGAAAUGCGUAGAGAUGUGGAGGAAUACCGGUGGCGAAGGCGGCCCCUGGACAAAGACUGACGCUCAUGUGCGAAAGCGUGGGGAGCGAAACAGGGAUUAGAUACC